AAAUCAAAACAAAACAAUUAGGGUUGUUGAUUGUGGGUGAUUGUGGGUCUGUGGGGUUUGUUUGUUUGCAUGUUGGGUUUGUGCUUUUUUGUGAGCAUGGCGUCCCUUUCGUUGCUGCUGCUGCUUGCGCGGUGGUGGUGGAGGUGACCCAGCUGUAGGCCAUGGCCGGGCCCAGUCCCUUGCAGGGCUUGUCUAGAACGGUGGCCGCGCAUUGCCGAGUGUGUGAGUGAAUGUGGAACCCAAUCGGCAUGACCGAGUCUAAGACCUUCUUCUUCUCCGCCCCACCAUUUCAUGACGCCAUCGCGAGGGCAGGUGAAGUACACGUUCCUGCAGAAAUGCUGAUGAUCCCCGCACCCACCCCUGCCUCGAGUUCGACUUGGUGGGAUGCUCGCAUCGUAAACUCCGCCAGUCUGCUAUAAUCAACAGUGCAAUUUGUGAUUUGGGUGUGUGUGUAUAUAUAUAUAUAUAUAUAUAGGAAUAUACAUACACAGAUACAUACAUGGUUUGUAAAGUUUGGAACAGAAGUAUUACUCAGCUUGAAUGCCGAGUGUUGCAGCUGCUCAAAUUCUAAUUGAUAUUGAGCCACAGAAUGAAUGAAUGUUUUCCAGCAUUGUUGUCUUGUGUGGGGGGAUAAGUUCCAAGCAUAGCUUGAUAGUGAGUUCACGAAUGUGAUUGGUUUUACAUGAGAACAGAACUCCGACGGCGUGUCCCGUGAAAGCAUUUCAUUACUACGAUGGUCGCUUCUGGACCGUGUGGGAAUUGCCCAUGUUCGGGUGUGCCAGGAUUCCGCCCUUGUGUUGAGGGAGAUCGAGGAGUUGGGCUCGAAUCACGUGAAGCAGGUGCAGAUCUGCGGAUUCUUGGUAGCCAGGCCCAACUGAACGAUGUAGUGAUUCUUCUUAGAAACAGAUUCUUAGCAGACAAUCUGCCGCAUAGUGAGGCAACUAUGUGACCUCCAUUGAGGGUUUCGGGUGUACGUGUUUCAUGAAAAGCGUACUGCUGCAGUUUUGGCACACGAAGUCGCAACACGCUUGCUCGGAACUUGGAAAAGGAACAAUGCUGCCCGUAGCACAAUCUCGAUUGCUGAUCUUAGUUCUAGUGGAUACUUCUUAUUACUGUUAGCUGGUUUCCUUGAAGUUAAAUCUUGCGUAAUGCGUUUCAUCGGAAUGAACGUUGCAGUUCCAAUGACUAUUUCAAUCUGUCUUGUCUGUGCUACGAAGACCUGAGGUUACGUAGCGAGGUAAUAUGGAAAAUGCAGCUUUUUGGGUUGACAACAGCAGGAGGUAUCUCAUUUUAUUUCCUCAAAAUAAACGGGAAAAAUACAGUGGCUGUUGUGGACGAGUAACCAAAUCAUGGUUGAUUGAGGAGCAGUGCUUUAAACCCGGUCCCGGCUAUUUCGUGAAGUGAUUUACUGUCCCGACACUUUGGCAUUCCUGACGAUUUAAGGGUAGCAGCUGAUGGUGUCACGCCGAUAUCGUACUGCAUGAAGUUUUGCUGGGGGGCGGCAGAUUACGCUCUUUGAUUCAUUGUGCACAUAUGGUAUUGUACAGCAAGUAAUGUUGCAGCUGUAGCUGAGAGCGAACUGUGGCGACUGAGGAAGCACGAUAUCAUUACCAUGGCUUGAUAUCGAACAAUCCUGAAAAAGAAGCUUGGUAAUGGGCGAGCACUUGGUGCAUCGCUAAUCGUAAAAAACCCACACGUGUUUACUCAA